UGUCUCCUUCAAUUAGCAGCCGGUGUCGUUCUGCAGUCAGAAAUAACAACUGAUGUAUGAGAUGUCACGACAAGUUAGGUCAGAUAUAUUCAUACAGUAUGUGUUUCUCACCACAGGGUAGGUCAUAAUGAGAUCAUUGGCGUGAUGCGGGUCGGCUGCCAUGCUGAGGGUCUCGGUAGGGACCACUGGAACGAAAUGCUGGCUUAUCCACGCAAGCCUGUUGCACACUGGCACCCCCUGCUGGAGGCCAAGAAAUCUGAGAAGGAGUGGAAGGCGAGGACCGCCAGCUUUGACAGCCAAGGUUCCUGCCCCUCCCCGAGGCCUCCUGCUACUCCCUGAGGAGAACCACCUGAGACCCAGUUAGUCCAGAAGGGGGUUUCCUCCUUCCUGCUCAUAUACUUCCCAUCUGUCUGACUGAGGAGAAACACAAUUUCAAGGACUCCCUCUUGCUUUCCCUCUCUCCUUUCCUCAAGUCUAGUGCCCAGAGGAUUCCAAGAACUGUUCAAGGACCAACCGUCAGCUAGCUGUGUGACGCGCCGUCUUUAUGGGUCAGUGUGGACUUUGGUACGCUGAUUUAGACCGAACUGAAACACAGGUGUUGUGUUGAGUCAGAGGUGUUCUCAUUGUCCUCUGAGUGGGCUAGACGUCCCGUCUGCAGACAUUAAAAAUCCACUUUAAAUUGUACGGGCUGACGAGCACACAUCUCCGUGUCGUCACAGGAGACUUCCCAAAAGACUCAAGACACAGUGCUUAAGCCACAGAGACUCUUUGAUGGAAAAACCCGCUCCGUGAAAGCAGCACAGGCUUCAAAGCAAGAAACCGAGAACGUUUCCAGGAUGGGAACGAUGUGGGGGGGGAAAAAAUUUAAAAAGGGAUCUGAAGUGGUUUGUUCUCUCACACAGGCAUCAACAACAGUGCUGUAUUGGCAAAAACACUGUUCUGAACUGUAGCAUUUUUAGGACUGUUGUAUGUAAAAUUGCUCCAUCAGGCAUUAUUAUUUGAGUAAAAGUGAAAUGACUUUCACUGCUUCCAGCUGAGUUCGCCGUACUUCCAGUUCCAUCAAUAAAAUAA